rnacentral:rRNA from 1 species
CCCUCUUUUCUCUUUAUUAACUACUUAUUUGAGUUUUAAGGGCGAUAUAUUGAAUUCUUGUAGUAAGGGUGAAAUUGUUGAUAGUGGAAGACGUUCAAAGGCGAAAGCGAUUAUCGACUUAAAUCUGACACUAGGUACUAAAGUAUGGGUAUGAAGAGGAUUAGAGACCUUGUAGUCCAUACCUUAAACAAUGAGUAUUAACGUCCUUAAACAAGCAAAAAAUAUUUUGUAGGAGUUUAAAGGGGGUUUAAAGCUAACGCGUGAAAUACCGCCUGGGGAAUGUGGCGCAAGGUCUAAACUAAAAGGAA